rnacentral:rRNA from 1 species
UACGGGGGGGAGCAAGCGUUGUUCGGAUUUACUGGGCGUAAAGGGCGCGUAGGCGGCCACCGCAAGUCGACUGUGAAAUCUCCGGGCUUAACCCGGAAAGGUCAGCCGAUACUGCGGGGCUAGAGUGCAGAAGGGGCAACUGGAAUUCUCGGUGUAGCGGUGAAAUGCGUAGAUAUCGAGAGGAACACCUGCGGCGAAGGCGGCUCUCUGGGACGGUACUGACGCUGAGACGCGAAAGCGUGGGGAGCGAACAGG